AUCUUGGGAAAUUUCAUCGUGAUGGGGAUAGAUCAUUGCAAUUGUUGGUCUUCAACGAGGAAUGCCUAGUAAGCGCGAGUCAUCAGCUCGCGUUGACUACGUCCCUGCCCUUUGUACACACCGCCCGUCGCUCCUACCGAUUGAAUGGUCCGGUGAAGUGUUCGGAUCGCGGCGACUGGGGCGGUUCGCCGCCCCCGACGUCGCGAGAAGUCCAUUGAACCUUAUCAUUUAGAGGAAGGAGAAGUCGUAACAAGGUUUCCGUAGGUGAACCUGCGGAAGGAUCAUUGUCGUGACCCUGACCAAAACAGACCGCGCACGCGUUAUCUAACUUGCCGGUGGCGGCACUGUCCGUCGCUUGGCCAAAGUCCUCGAUAACCUUCUCUUCUCGGAGAGGGGGCCUCGGGGUAAAAGAACCCACGGCGCCGAAGGCGUCAAGGAACACUGUGCCUAACUCGGGGAUGCGGCUGGCUUGCUAGCCGCCCCUCGUGUUGCAAUGCUAUUUAAUCCACAUGACUCUCGGCAACGGAUAUCUCGGCUCUCGCAUCGAUGAAGAACGUAGCGAAAUGCGAUACCUGGUGUGAAUUGCAGAAUCCCGCGAACCAUCGAGUCUUUGAACGCAAGUUGCGCCCGAGGCCACCUGGUUGAGGGCACGCCUGCCUGGGCGUCACGCCAAAUACGCUCCCACAUACCCCUCAUCGGGCAGUGGGAUGCGGCAUGUGGCCCCCCGUCACGCAAGAGGCGGUGGGCCGAAGAUGCGGCUGCCGGCGUAUCGUGUCGGACACAGCGCGUGGUGGGCGACCUCGCUUUACUUACCGCAGUGCAUCCGGCACGUAGCCGACGUGUUGGCCUCAAUUGACCCUAUAAACGGAGUGCAUGACGCUUCGACCGCGACCCCAGGUCAGGCGGGACUACCCGCUGA
rnacentral:misc_RNA from 1 species